UACGUAGGGUGCGAGCGUUGUCCGGAAUUACUGGGCGUAAAGUGUGCGCAGGCGGCUGAGCAAGUCGAGUGUGAAAGCCCCGGGCUUAACUUGGGAAUUGCGCUCGAAACUACUUGGCUGGAGUGUGGCAGAGGAAGGUGGAAUUCCACGUGUAGCGGUGAAAUGCGUAGAGAUGUGGAGGAACACCAAUGGCGAAGGCAGCCUUCUGGGCCAACACUGACGCUCAUGCACGAAAGCGUGGGGAGCAAACAGG
rnacentral:rRNA from 1 species